rnacentral:rRNA from 1 species
AACGUAGGACACAAGCGUUAUCCGGAGUUACUGGGCGUAAAGGGCGUGUAGGCGGAUCGGUAAGUCUACUCUGAAAGCUCCUGGCUAAACUGGGAGAGGCGAGUGGAGACUGUCGGUCUAGAGUGAGGAAGAGGAAAGUGGAAUUCCGCGUGUAGUGGUGAAAUGCGUAGAGAUGCGGAGGAACACCAGUGGCGAAAGCGGCUUGCCAGAACGCGCUCGACGGGUGAGGGAUGAAAGCUGGGGGGAGCAAACCGG